ensembl:lncRNA
UUGACACUGAAAAGUACUGACAUCGAAAAAAGACUUGCAUUGUAAAAAAAAACGCACUGAAAAAGGCUGACAUGAAGAAACAAAGAAAAUAUUGUCAUUGAAAAAGCACAUCAGAAUAAACAAAAAAAAACAUCAAAACGUCUUUUCAGUGCCCAAAGUUUUCAAUUCAAGUGUUUUAAUGCCAAAGUUCAAUUACUCAGUUUAGUUUUUUAUCAUGCUGAUUUUGUGCUUUUUCAGUGCCAAACCUAAAGUCUCUGUUUUAGCUCCAUAUCAACCCGGGUUCAAUUCAAUUUCUUUAACGCCUUUGUAUGUUGCGUUGAGAAAAGCUUCUGCUCAAUAUUCAAACUCCACUGUUAUGCUGAGGAUCUGCGUUGCGUUUGAUUCAACGCUGGUAAACAGGUGACAUACGGUCUUCAUCUGCAAGGUAACCAGGAGGUGCAGGUGGAUGAGAUGACAGUUGAUGAGCGAGGAGACUGGAUUGGGUGUUUGUUUAAUUCUCGGCCGGUGGGUGAAUGGAAGUUUGCAGUGGCUCAGAUCCAACCCAAUCGGAGGUCUCCUGGAGUGUGCUGUCAGAAAUCUGGCAGGCUUCCGCACACAGAGGAUACUCUCUUCAAAUCACCCAAUAGGAAAUGAGAGAUGUUGGCUUUGCCUUGACAGGCAGAUAUGCGUGUGGUGCAUAUUUGAUUGGACAUAUAGAAUCUGGAAACUGCCAUACAGCGGCUUGUUGCACGGGCUAAUGUGACAUCAAAGUAGGUUUGAUGGAGGUUGCAGUAGCUUUGGAAGAUGACUUGAGGUGAUUGAAAUAGCUUUGAUGUGUAAGGAAAUUUAUGGAAGCUUAGUCCUGGUAGAACUUUUUUAUAUAUUAAUGUGUGCUGUCAUGCAUUAAAACUACUCUCUGUCCAG